UUGAUCUCAAAUCAGGUAGGACUACCCGCUGAACUUAAGCAUAUCAAUAAGCGGAGGAAAAGAAACUAACAAGGAUUCCCCUAGUAACUGCGAGUGAAGCGGGAAGAGCUCAAAUUUAAAAUCUGGCGUGCCUCUGGUCGUCCGAGUUGUAGUCUGGAGAAGCGUUUUCCGUGUUGGACCGUGUAUAAGUCUCUUGGAACAGGGCGUCAUAGAGGGUGAGAAUCCCGUCUUUGACACGGACUACCAAUGCUUUGUGAUGCGCUCUCAAAGAGUCGAGUUGUUUGGGAAUGCAGCUCAAAAUGGGUGGUAAAUUCCAUCUAAAGCUAAAUAUAGGCGAGAGACCGAUAGCGAACAAGUACCGUGAGGGAAAGAUGAAAAGCACUUU
rnacentral:rRNA from 1 species